UUGAAUACCCUUAAUGCACUUUGAGAG
rnacentral:piRNA from 1 species